UGGAUCACAUGAUGACUAUAUUACCGCCCCAGUCUGAUUAUCAUAUGACUGAUUGGUAUAUUUGAAGUCUG